AGUGUUGGGGGUGCUUAGGAUUUAGGGAAAAGAAAUUUCAGUAGUGAUUCCUAUUAGAGUUAAGGGUAUGGGGAAAAGAAAAAAAGAAAUCCCAGCACUGAUUCUUAUUAGGGUUAGGGUGAGAAAGGAAGGAAGCAAGGAAGCAAGGAAGGAAGGAAAGAACAAAAGAGAAGAACAUAAAUUUGAUGGAAGAAAUGGGAGGAGGUUGAUUGGGGAAAGGAUAGGGAUGAAAAAGAUAUAAUAUUCACAUAUAAAAUUCAUGAUGCCUUUGUUAAUAUCUGAAUAGUAUUCCAUUGUGUAAAUGAAUCACAUUUUAUGUAUUCAUUCUUCAUUUGUGGGACAUCUGGUUUGUUUACAGCUUCUGGCUAUCACAGAUAAGGCCACUAUGAACAUAGUGGAGCACUUGCCCCUAUGGCAUGAUGGGAAAUCUUCAUAUGCCCAAGAGUGAUAUAGCUGAAUCUUCAGGUAGAGCUAUUUCUAAUUUUCUGAGUAACCUCCAGAUUGAUUUCCUGAUUGGUUGUACCAGUUUUAGACUGAAGUUCCAUGUAACAAACAUCAAUUUAUUACUCCUAGAAUGGUGAGCCACCUCAAGACAGGAUAAGCAGUAAAUAACACAACAAAUAGCAUUCAAUAUUGAAUAACUCGUAUUCCAGCUCUAAUAGAAUGCUACAUAGCAGCCUAGAAAUUUCAUCUGUAAAACUGACUAGAUAGCACAUACCAUUUAGGAAUACUGCAAAAUUAGGAGUAAAAUAUGUAAAACUGUGCAGGCCCUGUCACCUAACAGACACUAAAUAAACAAACAUUAGUUACUAUUCCUGUCAUUGGUAUCAGUGUUAUUAGCCUAUGCAGGAUAGGUGACAACAGUAAGCAUAUGCUGGUAAAUCGUUUUUCUUGUUUUUAUCACAUCAUUAGGAAUAAUGAGAGAUUAAAACUAAAACAACUCUAGCAGUUAACAUUUUGGGUUGAUUUCAAUGAUACCCUUUUCACUUGUUCUUACUAACUCUGAACUUUACAGAUCUUAAAAAAGUCCACAAAAAAAAAAAAAAA
rnacentral:lncRNA from 1 species